rfam:Callipepla squamata strain Texas jcf7180005233862, whole genome shotgun sequence.
GGUCAGUGAUGACUUAGUAAAAGGUCUGAUGGCACUGGGAAAUUGCACACCAUUACCUCUUUGGCUCCCAGCAGUCUUUGUUCUGUCAUGCCAUAGCAGAGCUAUGACUGAGAAAGGAAUUGCUGACAGUUUGGGAUUCAUUCAGUUCCAGUUCCCCACAGUGAAGGGGGUUUUGGUGCUGAACACCAUCCAACAGAACUGGUUAAGAGGAGCUCACGGUAGUGGUGUGUCUUCAUUGGUUGUGCAUGAUCUAAAGUUUUCAAGCUGAGACC